rnacentral:snoRNA from 1 species
UUGAAGUGACGUAUUGCCAACACAUCAUUCUGAAGUGUGUGGUGAUUUCCUGUGACUAUGAGCAUA